GUGCACACUUUGACAGCACACAUACUAAAAUUGGAAUGAUACAGAGAUUAGCAUAGCCCUUGGGCAAGGAUGACAUGCAGAUUCAUGAAGCCUUCCAUAUUUAA
rnacentral:snRNA from 1 species